rnacentral:lncRNA from 1 species
AAUAGGACAUCAAUCCUAGCAGCAGUCAUUGGAAAAAUAUGGCUUGUCUCCGGCCGCCAUGUGUGCUUGCCGCCCGCUUGUACGUCCCAAUAAACAGGAUUUAACUUCAGCAGCACAAUGGUGACAUCUCAGUAUCCAGCCAAAAAACCUGGAGAAGAUCAUCACAGUUAGUUAGCUGCAGUAGUAGAGCGAGAGAGAGAGAGAGAGAGAGAGAGAGAGAGAUGACUUAGCGGAUGUGGUCAUUAAGAGGCAAACAUGACAGGUUUGCAUGAAAACAAUCUGGAUCAAGGUGCAAAGCCAUUUACGAAGCUAGUCACAUAGCAUCGAUGGAUAAGAUGGCACCACCAUCUCGCACUACAAAAAAAAUACACUUCCGUGAUGAUACGUGUUUGUCACAGUAGGUCACGUUUUUUGUCAUGCAUGUACAUCCAUGACAAAUUUAUGACAGAAUUGAGAUAGUCAUACCUCUGCUGUCGUAGAAGUGUUCGAUGACAUUACCAAAAUUAUCAUCACGGAAGUGUCCACUUCCAUGACGAUAAAUCGCGCGUCACAGAAGUGCUUUCGGCAAGGGUGACAGACACGUGGCAUCCACCGUAACGGAACACCAUUAAGCUAUCGGGUUGGGUUUUGGAUCCGAUAACCUGUUAACAACCCCGACCAAUGGGGAUUUUCCACGUGUAAAAUCAUCAUUGGCUGGAGGAAACACGUAUCGGCUCAUUGUUGGGACAAAUGUCAUCCACUCAUUGGACAGAAGGCGCCUAUGAUACGUCGACACGUGGCACGGCCCAACAGAGGCCCAUUCCUGUGAAAAGGCCGACCUGUUUGACUUGGUCAAAAGGUGACGGGCCGGCCCAUGGAAAGCCUGUUAACGGCCUGUUCGCAUAUAGCCCAUUUACAGCCCGCUAACCCAAGGCCCGUUACGCCCUAUCCGAAUUAGGCCCAGUAGCGUCAUUUGGGCCAUCCAAUAUGAUUCCAGCCCGUUUUCACUUCUGACCCAUGUAUGGCCCAUGACGUCUUUCGGCCCAUAUGAGGCCCUAUGUAACUCUUGGCCUAUUAACGGCCCGUGGUGAAACUGGCCCGUAAUGAAAAGUGUAUUACUUUAGACCCAUUAAUGGCCCGUGGUGAAACUGGCCCGUAAUGAACAGUGUAUCGCUUUACACCCAUUAAGGGCCCGUUAUUCAGUUGGGCCAUUUACAGCCCAUGUUAUCUUUCGGCCAUCUCAGAGCCCAUUUAUUCUUGGGCUUAUUUGUAGCAUUCGGUUACUUACGGCCCGUUACUGUCAUUUUCUGCUUGUGGGCCAAAUUCAGCCCGUCGUUACAGUCGGCCCGUUUGUGGUCCGUUAGUCUGUUGGGCCAUUUUCAUACAUCACCAAAUACGGCCUAUUAACGGCCCGUUAUGGUCAGCCAAUAAAACGUAUGAUUUCCAUUAUAGGUCCGUCUACGGGCCAUUAAAGGCCAGUACAAGACCCGUAAAUGAGUCGGCGGCCCAUGGAUUCUACGUGACGUAGAAGGCCCAUGGAUCCUGCGAGACGUAGAAGGCCCAUGGACACUGCGAGACGUAGAAGGCCCAUGGAUCCUACUAGACGUAGAAGGCCCAUGGAUCCAACAAGAUGUAGAAGGCCCAUGGUCGGGUGAGUUGGCCCCCGUUUGAACGAUAUAGCAUAUUCAAAGAAUUAUCCUACUCAAUACUAUCACCUCUAAAAAGCAUACACUAUACAACAAAGAGAUCAAGGCAUAGAAAGGUAGAAUAAUCCUACACUAUACAAUAAAGAAAUUACAGCCGAUUAUACCCACUGGGCAUUAUGGUAUGACACAGGUGAUAAUAAAGCAUACACAAACAACAAAUUACACACUGGGCAAAUACGGCUCAUACAUCAUGGACGCGCAUCAACUUAACUCCAUUUGAACUAUAAUCUCUUCAGAAAAUAGGAUUGGCCGGAUUCAGAUAGCACAAAUUUCAGUCUGCAAAAUCUCCAAUUCCUUCAUGGUUACCUCGGUGUCUUGUUUAAUUUUUUUGACUCCUGCAUCUAAUACCUGCACGUCCAGUCUCAACUUGUUGAUUAUACGUUGACAAUCAUGUACACGCUGUCUUGCCACCUCUAGUUGAUGCUCGAGAACAUCAGCACAUUCCAAUUCCAAUCCAUAAUCUUUCGGCAACGGCCAUGCCGCACUGCUCGCAGAUUUUUGUGUUGAUGUCACUUCAUCCUGAAAUGUUUCUGUAAGUACACAUGACUAGGGCAAAAAUAUAGUUACAACAGUGAAGCGAACAAGACACUAUUUUGUACUACAUGGCAAAACCGGACUAACAAUAAUGUUACACAUCACUUUCACAAAAAAAAUGUUACACGUCAUGAAGCAUAAGCAGGUGAUAUUUUAAAAAUUAUAAAAAAGAUAGUCUGUGCAGCCUGCAUACAGAAAUCCCUCUUAGCUCACCAGAGGAGCAUGAUAAUGGGGCCCAAUCGAAAACACAGACAAGUUACAAAUUUAGACAGCAUGUUGCGUAUAAGUAAGCAAGCAGUUGGCCAUUCUGUACCUCAAUUAAAGUCUUAGGGAGCAUAAUGAACAGCAGAGGGUUUCCUACAAACAUACUACAGCAGGCAAAACUAUGCAAUCAUUUGCAUAGUAUAAACUAGAUUGUGAGCCUCAUGCAAUAAUAGUUGGUUAAUAGACUUCAAAGCUUCAGGCACACUUCGACAGAGUAAUUAAAUGGUAAGGCCUUUAAUCAUGUCAACUAAUAGUGAUACAAGUACCGAACAUCAGGCACAAUUAUUUGGGCAUCUCAUUAAGUGAGGACAAAUAAAGCAAUUGAAAAGAGAAAAUUAACUAUGCCUGAAACAAACAAGGAAUUGAACUGUUGAGUUGCAUAUAGUGACUUACCUUAGCAGGUUGAAGAGGCUCAGCGCAGCUUCUACUUCUCUUGCAAGGCUCCUUCCUAACAUCUUGUACUUGGAAAUCCUCAAUCUUAUCUUCAUUACACCCCAUCUGCAAGGUGACACAAACUAGUUACUCGUCUCCUUGGAAGAUAAAUAUGCAUACUUUCCAGUCUGUGAACACAAAAGGAUGAGAUUAUAUCAAAACAACACCACGUAAUGAAACAUGCCGCAUCUCUUGCACUUGCACACAAUGAAAUGAGCAUUUACUAUGUCUGCACAUGUAAAAACUAGGCAUACCUUUGAACUGGAUCUCCAGGUACUCUUGGAGAGCCUACUGUAGUGUACAGCCAAACCUUUAUUCACCUAUGAGUUAGACAAGGCCCCACUACAGCAGCCCUUAGUGUUUAAAACGUUGACAAGCUUUGUGAGUGUUAGGUCAAGAACAGGAAGUAAUCAAAGCAAACAGUCCUAGUAUGGCUGGCUGAUGCAAACAAGCAAUUGAACAGAUGUGUGAGCAAAUCUUACAUAUCAAGAAAAGAAGCAAAGAAGGAGGCUUAAAGACCAUCACUUGACUGACUAGAUUUAAGGGGCAUUUAAACAUCAUGUGCAACGUAUGAACUAACAUAAACAAUGCAUAUUCCAGAUUCUACAAUGGAAUGCACAUGUAUUAGGUUAUGCCAUGUAUGAUGAUGCCUAAAUGUACAGAUAGCAGGCAGGAGUGAUUCAUCAUUGCACGCACAAUUGAAUUGCAGGUUAAGGGCCAGUUCAAUUCUGCCUUUUCAGGGUAUAUUGUCAAAAUAAGCCAUAAAAGAUGUAAAGAAGUCAUUUUUGAGUUAUGGGCUUGGGCUUAACUAAUUUCGCUUUGGAGGGGGGGGGUGUUUCAAGUAGAAUCUCACUAAAAAUUGAAGAGAAGGGGAAUAGUGAAAUGACUCUGUUGUCUGCCUAUAUUACACUCCAAAUGCAACUGCUGACGCCUGUGUCACUCCUAACCCUCAAGUAAAAACAAACACGCAAGCAUUCAUUGCCUUGCCCGCUUGCAUCUCCUCUCCCCUUUCCCUCUACCUCGGUCCCCUGCUUGCAGCACUAGGGUUCCUCCAGCGAGCCGUCGCCACUGGUCCCAUCUGGCCUGGUCCUCGACGAUGCUAUGUCCAGCUAGGCUACAUGGCCGGUGGGUAGGGGCAAAUCUCUCUGACUGCUCCUCCCUCUGGCGCCGCCCCUCAUUCUCAUGGUCUCCAGCAGCUGCUCCACUGUGGUUCGUCCAACGCAUUACUCCAGCAGGCGCUGCACAACUACGGCUGAUGCCACACUACGGCAGAAGGCACCUUCUUCCCCCUCCCCUCCUCCCAGGCCAUGGCCUUGAGGUGCUGUUGAAGGAUGAGCUCAUCCAACAAGGUGAGGAUCUCCUCUGAUUUUUUGCCAAAUUUUCAUUCUGAUCCACUAUACGAUGAAUUUCCAUGAGCUGCUUCUGCUGUUGCUGUAUGAUGCAUUGCUAUGAGCUACUCCUGCUGCUGCUAUAUGAUGAAUUGCUAUGAGUAGCUACUGUUGUAUGAUGAGUUGCUAUGAGCUGCUGCUGCUAUAUGAUGAAUUGCUAUGAGCUGCUCCUGCUGCUAUAUGAUGAGUUGCUACAAGCUGCUCCUGCUGCUGCUAUAUGAUGAAUUGCUAUGAGCUGCUCCUGCUGCUGCUAUAUGAUGAAUUGCUAUGAGCUGCUGCUGGUAUAUGAUGAAUUGCAGACUGCUGCUGCUGUAUGAUGAGUUGCUAUGAGCUGCUGCUGCUGCUAUAUGAUGAGUUGCUACAAGCUGCUCCUCCUGCUACUAUAUGAUGAAUUGCUAUGAGCUGCUCCUGCUGCUGCUAUAUGAUGAAUUGCUAUGAGCUGCUGCUGGUAUAUGAUGAAUUGCAGACUGCUGCUGCUGUAUGAUGAGUUGCUAUGAGCUGCUGCUGCUAUAUGAUGUUUUCAGGUGGUGCUGCUAUAUGAUAAUAACCAGCCACUUGGACCAUCGAAUUUCAACAAAUAAUUGUUCUUCAUUUAAAUGUGGGUCAUGCGUUCUUCGUUCAAAUUAGGCAAUGGGAUCUCUAUGGAAAACAUUGACCAAAGUAGAUUGUGCCAAGUAGAUGGUAUCUUUGUAUUUGCAUUUUGAGCAAAUAGUGAUGGUCUGUUUUCCUAUCAUAUUAAUUACUGCACUGGGUUCAAUUUGUGAUGUUUGCAAGUCAAAUUAAUUUCCAUAUGUGCAGCAAAAUGAAAAAUAUAUAUAAUGCAAUCUAGAAUUUCCACUGAUCAUACCAAAGAUAAGCUGAAAACGCAAUGAAAAGAACUGGUUGGCAUAUUACAUGGAGCUUAUAUUCACAUGUGCUUAUUUUCUUAGGAUAACUCGUAAUAACUGUCCCUAAGAAACUUGGCUAAUAAAACUGGCAUACAAAUAACAUGUCACGAUGAUUGCAAUGGAGGAGUGAUGUACCAUAGCACACUGUAUAGGCUCACCGCUGCCUCUCCUUUUUUUUGCGAUGUUCCAUGAAAUUGCCACAUACAUCUUGUACUUUUUCAUUGUGUAACCCUAUCUGCAUGUUGACACGGCUAAUUUCAGACAUCUCUACAUGAUACUACAUUGCAUACCAUAAACUAUCCAUGACUCUGUAUGUUGGACCGGCAGACACUCUAAGGGAGCCUAAUGUAGUGCACUGGAAUUCCUACAUGCCACCUACGAUUUUGUGUAAUGUACUGCCUCUGUUCCUAAAUAUAUGUCUUUGUAGAGAUUCCAGUAUGGACCACAUACAGAUGUAUAUAGAUGCAUUUUUGAGUGUAGAUUCACUCAUUUUGCUCCAUAUGUAGCCUAUAGUGGAAUCUCUAGAAAGACUUAUAUUUAGGAACGGAGGUACGAGGUAGUAUCAUGUAUGACAUCUACAUAUCUAAUUUAGCAGCCAGUAGUAGAAAUCAUUGUCCACACAAAGGGAUUACUGGUCGAAAAUCCUAGCAAAGCACGCUGGCAGGCACAGAACAAUACAAGAGAGAGAGAGACGCGCUUACAAGAUCAUAGAAAUGCCUCAGUCCAGGAUCUUGGUUGGCCAAGCUGUUAGAUCCAGAAGAAACAUCGUCCUUGUAGUUUUUGCCAGCUACAUAACAGGUAACAGCGGUCGGUUAGUAUAUUUAAAGUACAUCGGGCAAGUGAUGCUGGACGGGUUUAAAGGUGACAAGUACCUAGGCCGUGGCGGGUGUUUGGCAUCUCUCCAGACGGUGGGAAUCAGGUUAGAAACGUCGAGGGUGAUGACGAUGUCGGGGUCCGGUAAGGAGAUCUAGAACCGUCGAGUAGGGUGUUUAUGGAGCGGCUCCGGUAGGGUGGACUACUGUGUGGGCGAAGCGGAUCUAUGGCCGUGGAUGAGGGCGUAGGUGAAGCUACUCCGGUGGUUGGGUUAAGGAUGGUGUCGACGACGCGGAUCUGCAGCCAUUGAUGGGGCGUCAGAAGCUGCUCCGGUGGUUGGGUUAAGGAUGGUGUCGACGAUGCGGAUCUGCGGCCCUGGACGGGGCGUCAGAAGUUGCUCCGGUGGUUGGGUUAAGGGUGGUGUCGACGAUGCGGAUCUGCGGCCGUGGACGGGGCGUCAGAAGCUGCUCCGGUAGGUUGGAUGAGGGUGCGAGGAAGCGGAUCUGAGGCCGUGGACUUGUGAGUUGGCAAAGCGGCCCCGGUAGGGUUGAGAAUGGUAUAGGCGAAGCUACUCCAGUAGGGUUGACGCUGGUGUCGGCGAAGCGGCUCCGGUAGGGUUGAGGAAGGUGUCGGCGAAGCGCCUGUGGUAGGGUUGAGGAAGGUGUCGGCGAAGAGGAUCAGAGGCCGUUGACGGGGGCAUCUGUGGGGCGGCUCCGGGGGGUGUGGACGAAGCGUCUCCGAUGGGGAGUACGAAUGAGCCGCUGCAGAUGCGCGGCAGUUGACGAGAUUACCGGCGAAGCAGAUCCGGCACCGUGGACAAGGCCGGCACUGAAUGGGUUGUGGUACAGUGGUGGAUGAGCAGUCUACUUGUUUCUAGGGGAGGUGGGAGGGGUAGAUGCGGCCGCAGAAGCAGAUCCGGCGAGGUGGAUGCCGCUGGGAGUGAAUGGGCUAUGGUACGCUGGUGGAUGAGCAGUCUAGGGUUUCGAGAGGGGAGGGGAGAAAGGGCGAUGAAGUACGGACGGCGUGAUGUAAGAUGCUCUGGUGCUGUGGAGUUAGUCGUUUUUGCGGGAGGGGGGAGAGGGAAUGGGGGUGGCGUGUAGUGGGGGGAACCAGAAGUUACCAAAGCAGCCCCGACCUAUCAUGUAGAUGAGGGCGGUAUUGUAACUAUUGGUCUCCGUGCACCAAGGACAAAAGGGGGAUUUCUCAUGCUAAAGACUAAGGUGGCAGAAAUUUUAGAAGGAGGCAGGAGAUUUUUCCGCCCGCGGGAUCGUUCAUAUCCAGUUUCAACUAAUUUUGUAUUGUUCUAGCGGGAAGGUCAUGCUAGACUAUGUACACGGGGCACGCAUCAACAUUUAAUAACUGGUUUGAAGUCCACCCCAGAAAAAAAGACAAUAACUCGGGAUGAUGCGCCGAUAACUUGGACGUUCACACGGGCGGGCCCAAUCGUACGGGUGUAGUGGCGCGUUCACAAAAAAAGGAUCAAACGCUCAGCCUAUGUAUUUCUCGUGUAAAUAGAUAAUUUAGUGCCAUUGGUUAUUUACUUUAAACAUAUUGCGUUGACGCGUUAGUGUAGAGGUGCACAAAAAGAAAUGGAUAUUGUAGCUAGCUACUUAAAAGUGUUACCUCAUAUGAUUACAUAGCCUCCAUUUCAUAAAUUGCAUAACCAUUGAAUUCAUAUAUGAAUAUUACAUAUAUAUUACUUCAAAAUAGAAACUUAAAUCAUCCAAGACUAAUGAAUUUGAAUGCAAGAGUAACAAUGGUGCAUGUGCAUGAUAGCUACAUUGGUUGUUUGAAGAAACAUCACUAUAACUUUGGCAUGCACAACUGAAAAAGGUUUAUUUAAAUAGAAAAAAAUGUGAUAUGUGCGUGUCCAAUCUUUAUAGCGUUGAAUCCAUAUUGUACCUUUGGCCACGAUAUGAAGUAGAUAUUGACUUAUAUUCAAGUGAUGCACGUCCACGGUCGCUAGAUAGUGAUACGUGAAUGAAUUGUGCAAUCUCUCUCACACGCAUACAUAUCUCAUUCCCCUGUGGGCAUCGGAAUCACACAUGCGCACUUCGUGUAUUUCUCUCCCUCCGUCAGGGUUAAAUUCGUCUUUCUACCCCGUCCCACAAGUCUCUCACACAGAAACACACACGCUCUCUAUGUCUAACACGCCCACCCCUUUAAUUCCGCCCACCCACAGCCACUAAUGUCUCAAAGUAUAAUAAUGUCUCUCACACAUAUGCUAUCUACCUAUCCCUUAAUAUAGCUAGAUAUGUGUCACACAAACUCCUUCUCCCUACUAGCAAGAUGCCCAUGUGCGUUGCACGGAACAUCAAGAUGCAUUUGUAUGAGAAGUUUAUCUUGUGGGGGAAAAGGAUGAACGAGGGAAUGCCAUAUUUGCAAAUGUGGAGAGGGUAUCUUUUUGCAAAAUUGCCAUAUUUUCCUUCAUGUCCAUCGGAUAUAAAUCGGAUGGCCUAUAUUGCAGGAUGGCAGGAACACCAUCAUCACCAACUCUGUUUUUUUAUCUCUACUCUUAUAAAAAACAGAGUUGGUGAUGAUGGUGUGCCUGCCAUCCUGCAAUAUAGUCCGUCCGAUUUAUGUCUGACGGAUAGAAAGGAAACUAUGGCAAUUUUCAAAAAGAUACCCACACCCCUCUCCACAUUUGCAAAUAAGGCCUUCCCUCAUUCAUCCUUUUCUCUCACAAGAUGAACUACUCAUACAAAUGCAUCUUAAUGUUCCGUGCAACACACGGGCAUCUUGCUAGUAAGAGUAGAGAUAUGUGAGUAUCACUGCCCCCUCCCCCCCACACACUUCCCAACACCGAAGGAGUAGGGUGACCCCUCGAUCUUGAUACUAAUCUAUCGACUGGCUUCUCUCUCAAACAUACACACACACUACCCGGCACUGAAGGAGUAGGGUGACACCUCGAUCUUGAUACUAAUCUAUCGACUGGAUUCUCUCUGAAACAUACACACACACACUACCCGGCAUGGAAGGAGUAGGUUAGCACAUCGAUCUUGAUAAUAAUCUAUCGACUCCUCUUUUAAACACACACACACACACACGCUAGUUGUGCCUCUGUGCCUACCGUGCACACUCUCGAUACGUCUUUCUCUCCCUCCCCCCAACAAUGACAGCAGAAGGGUGACAACUCGAUCCGAUCAUAAUCUGUCAAUUGGUUUCUCCCUCAAACAUUGUGUCUCGGUGCCUCGCUCGGUAGCCCCCUCGAUAUGUAGACUUCUCGCGCGCCCACAACUAUAGUGACGACGACGUUGAACCCAGUGUGCCUUGUUUUUACCGGCUUCAUGUGAUAGUUUUCACCCUAUUUUCUGUUAAUUAAGAAGGCAACCUUUUCUUUGUUACUACUAGUGAAUCUGAAAUCUUUUGGGGUAGACAUAAAACAUAUCACUUCAACCCAAUUAUCGCAGCAACUACUUUAGAAGAAAUUAGCUAGCUGCCCAUGCGUUGCACGGAACAUCAAGAUACAUUUGUAUGAGUAGUUUAUCUUGUGAGAGAAAAGGCUGAACGAGGGAAGGCCUUAUUUGCGAACAUGGAGAGACGUCUGGGUAUAUUUUUGCAAAAUUUCCAUAGUUUCUUUCCUAUCCGUUAGAUAUAAAUCCGACGGCCUAUAUUGCAGGAUGGCACACACACCAUCAUCACCAACUCUGUUUUCUACUCCCUCCGUCCGAAAAUACUUGUCAUCAAAAUGGAUAAAAAUAGAUGUAUCUAAAACUAAAAUACGUCUAGAUACAUUUCCUUUUAUCCAUUUUGAUGACAAGUAUUUCCGAACGGAGGGAGUAUUUGUCUUUUUAGAGAUUUCAACAAGUGACUAUGACCGGACCUUACCAACAUACUCAAAAAAGUAGUCCAUAAUUUUGAUGUUACCCUCUUUUCUUGGCGGUGCAGUGCCAUCUGGAUACCUCAUAAUUAAAUCAAGGACAAAUCUGACCCCUUCCUGAAAAGACAUACGUAGCAAAAUGAGUGAAUCUACACUCUAAAAUAUGUCUACAUACAUAUCCGUAUCUGGUAGUCCAUUUGAAAUCUGAAAAAGACAAAUAUUUAGGAACGAAUGGAGUAUAUAUAAGAGUAGACAUGGAGAUAAAUCUCCAGCAUGGUAUACAACAAAAAUGUGCUGGGCUGGUUAGCGCCGGAUGCUCGCAACACGAUGACAUGAGUUCGAAUUUUGUCUUUUAACUUUAGAUUUGUAUAUUAUAUAUUACUCUACUUAUUUAAUAUAUAUUUCUUUCGCUACUGUACUGACAGUGGAACCCACAAAGUACUUAGAAUAUUAAGGAUGGACUUGUUUCUUUUUAAUUUUCUAUAGGAAGCUGUAGCCACCCUGCAAGUCACUUGUACACUAUACAUGCAAUUAACUUUUUAUAGAGGGACAAUCAUACAGACAAUUAACUCAAAUGGAUUCGAUGUCACUCUAUUAUUUCCAGCAUAAAGAGCAUCUCCAACGGCAGCCGGCAAAUUUCCUCCCGCUUCCUUCCGCGGAGGACGACAUCAAAUGCCAGCGGCAUACUUUUUUACAACUCUAACCAACCAGAUGAAAUUCGUGCAAACACGGACUGAUUUCAUAUAAGAAUAAAGGAUUUCGUAUAAAAAAGCCGGAUCUUCAUAUAAACAUGAUGGAUUUCAUUACAUUUACCUGAACUAAGAGGUGCCAACCGACUCUCUUGUAUAAUUAGUACUCCCUCCGUCCGGAAAUACUUGUCCUAGAAAUGGAUAUAUCUAGACUUAUUUUAGUUCUAAAUGGCCUCCUGUGGAUCCCUUUGUCUUCCUCAUGUCCGUCAGACACUUGCGGGGUCGACGAAGGUCCUCGGAAGAGACGAAGCAGCAAAGAAACCACCUGAAUCCGCAGUCGUCGCCUCGGCGGUGGCCUUCAUGGGUCCCAAGUGGCGGCGGCCUCCCGUGUGCUACUUCUCCUCGAUGAUGGCGGCGGACAGGGAGAAGCUGGCCACCGACUGGUCGCUCUCCAUGCACCCGGCUUCUGUCUCUGCCUGCAUGGCGCUGUCGCACGCACGGGAGGCGCGCCCACAUGCAUGGGAGGCGCGGCCACCGCAGACACUGGUGGUGCGGUAUGCCGCGGCAGUGACAGCGCCCGUACCGGUGUUCUCGCUGCCUUGCCGGCGUGGAGCAACUCGCCACUCCUCAUCGAGCUGAACUGGAGCGGCAAGUUGCUGAACCACGCGCCUGCUUGGGGCGGCAAGUGGCUCCGUCGGGCCAAGCGAGGUUGGUGAAGCACCGAGCAGCCUCGCCCGUAUCCGGAGGGCUCGGCGGGCCACCCAGCCGGGUAAUAUGCCGGAGAACGGCUCAUCGGAAGCCAUCGGAAGGGUGGAGAAAAUGGUGAAGGAGGAGAUGGGGGAGCGGCGGAGGGGUGCGAUUCUUGCCCACUGUCUGUCCGACCUCGUGUAAAUAGAGGGCGGACGGUAGGAGCUUUGCCGGCGUCUGGCCUCAUUUAAACUGUGGGCGGGCAGGAGGAGCUCGGCCGGUGUUGCGUUAAUUCUGGCCCGCUCAUGAACGGACGUGUGGCCGGAGUAGGAUUCUCAGUUUGCAUGCGGAUUUAACGGAGGGGUUUAAUGGAGGCGCCGGGCGUGCAGCGGGUGGCGCAGUACUAUUCGAUUUGACAUCAUUAAUGAGUCGUCAAAUCACAAAGGCCCUCGCCUCUCGUGAAACCGACCGAGCUAGACUGCCCCACCCUCUAGCCUUUUAAAAAAUGUAUAUACUCCACUUCUGUAUAGUAGUAGUAUCGAUGGAUUGCGCCAUGGAGCAAAAUUUGAAAUUAAAAAUAAGGUGGUAUAUAUAGAGAGCGCUCGUGAACUAUGUGUCAUACAUGGCAAUAAAUAAAGUACUACAUGAUACUUAUAUGAUACAUGGCGCAGGAGUACUAAGUAUUAUUAAUACAGUUUUGCUAGAACUCAUCUAGAUGAGAUAUAAUUUGGUCUCAUUCAUCUUUUAUAGCCAUUGGAUGUGAUGUUAUAAGAUGCGUGUGUGCUGACGUGGGUUGUAUUUGUUCUUGUGCAACGAACUGACCACUUCAUGUCAUGUUUGAUAGUCUCAAGUCAUUAAAAGCAUACAAGCCCCACAUCUCUUGUUGGUUGAUUCCUCUAUUUAUGUCAAAAAUAAGAAACAACGUGAGAGUUAAUGCACCACGCCUAUGUGUUAGACUACCCACAAUGGUGAGUAACAUACACUAGUAACAUACACAUAUCCCUAUACUAUGUUACUACCUUCAUAGUGGGUACUACAUCCGUCCUGGUUUAUAGGUCCCUUUUUUAGUUUGUGCCAAAUUUUGACUAAAGAUUUAACUAACAAAAUGUUAAUGCAUGUCAAGAAAAAUUAUCUCAUCGGAUUCGUCUUUGAACAUAGUUUUGAAAAAUAUAAUGGUUGGUGACAUGCGUGAACAUUUGCUUAGUUUAAUCUAUGGUCAAAAUUUGGCACGAAAUACAAUGGGGACCAAUAAACCCGGACAGAGGUAGUAGUAACAUAAGUGUCGUAACAUGCAAAGCUUCAUUUAUUAGGUUAUAGACUCAUAUUGCAUUGGGACAUGUGAUGUUACAGUAACUAGCUAAGUUAUUAUAACUACCUCUCUCCUCAUUAACUCAUUGCCACAUAAGCAAAUUUGCUGAGUUGGACUCGAUGUUACUGCUGAAGUUACUCCCACGGUGGCUAGUCUUACUAGUAUUUGGUUUUCGUAAGAUGACUUAUAAUACUCACCUAGACGGAGGGAGUAUUCGAUUUGACAGCGGGCGGCGCAGUUCCCGAUACGCCUUUAAUGCAGACGAGGGAGGGAGUAGCGGUUCCCGAUAUGUUGAACGGCCAAUGCAUCCUCCUUCAAUUAAUGCAAGAGGGAAGUAAUGGGAGGAGGUCCGGGAAAAGAGGCUGCACGAUGUGAAUGCAACGCGGUUUGCCCCCAUUGCCCUCAUAUAAAGGCGCCCCUCCUCCAUUCCAAUGCAUCUACCACAUCAUACGCACCUAAGCACUUGCCUAAGCACCUACACGAAGCGCAAAAGAGCUCGCUCCAGACCCAUGACGGCGCUGCGCGUGAGCAGCCAGCGGCUGCGCCAGAUGGUCCACGACGCCGGCCUACGGCAUGGCGCCGAGGAUCGUCUCCAGACGGUGUUGGAGACCAGCUGGUGGAUGGCCGCCAUCGACGCCAACUACGACUCUUAGUUGGACCAGAUGAUUGUUGCCACUAGCAACAAGUUUACCAUCCUAAAGAAGCUCGCGGAUGAUAUCGCCGUACUCCUCCAGCCCGCGCGCCUGGGCUCCUCAUUGCCUGCCACCCUAAUCGGCCUCCAUGGCCGGAACCUCUUUCAAGCACUGGUGGCCCUGCGACUGCCCGCCGACGCCAAGAAGAAUGUCCACCUGGAGGUCGCGCUCGCCGCGAGGCACCUCGCCCUGAAGAAUUCGUCGACCUACACAUCCACGCGUACGAGCAAAUCGUGUACAUAGGUAUCUACAAGGCCAGUGGGGACGCUACGACGUUGGCCUUCCUCAACCGGCUGGAAGCCUUGGAUGCCUUUGUUGAGAAGCACCUCGACCUCGCCACAAAAGCCGCCGCUCCUUAGCCGCCGGACGAUGGCCCGGCGCACUAAGUUUAGGAGGAGGAGGUCGUACGUUCGUGGAUCCAUCUUUCUUCUUGCCUUGUGUAACCACCACUGUGAUGGCAUCAUUGUGGCCUUAAUUCUUAUUGUGUUGUUGCAUUCUCGUUCCAGUCAAUACCGACAUGUGCGAUCCCUUUGCUUAAUUAUAUGCAUCACUGUAACUAGUACUCCAUCUGUCAAUUUAUAAGUUGUGCUUACCUUUUCCAUCAACUUCGUGCAACACGCGGGCAUCUUGCUAGAAACACUAGAAUAUGUCUAUAUAAUCCGUAUGUGAUAGUCCAUUUGUAAUCUCAAAAAAGACAAAUAUUUAGGUACGGAGGGAGUAAUAUAUUAGGAGUAUAUCAAAACAAUAGUGAUUUCUUUCAAGUUUGUGAACAAAUACUAGUAUUCUACUACUUUGGAUCCGUCGCAAUGCACGGGCAAAUUGCUAGUAAAAGGAAAAAGCAUGCCACGUUCGCGUCGCACCCCCACACGCCUGGGAAUCGGGAGUACAACACGGCCCGUCCGGCACAACACGUAGCUUAGGGAAGGCGUGUUGCCUACAGCCUAGCAUUUUCACUUUCAUGUGGGACCGCCCGUUGACCAAACCGACACCCCUCCUGCCUCCGGGUUGGAAAACAGAAACAAGGGGAAGAUCUAGCUGUAGCACUGAAGCCAAGAAAUUUUGUGUCAGACGGGGCUCAUUGAUAGAGUAGGAGCAUUCCGUAUUAGUACCACUCCUACCAAGUUUGUACUCCUAAUAGUAUUAUAUUACUAGUACUACCACUAUACAACUAGUAGAUACGUGCAUGGCACAACAUCGUAGGAACAAAAAACGGGAAGAUCUUGUUUUGGGUGAUUUAUCUUUUUUUCAAUCAACGUAGUAUGAAUAAUAUGAUGUGGGGGGCACCCAUGAAGCUUAUGUGGCUUGGUUGCAUGGCUACGGAAGGUUAGAGAAAAAUAAAUAGAUAAUGUGUUUAGAGUGCACUCCACUAAACAGAUAUACUUUGGAUCCAUUGCAACGGACCGGCACAUCUAUAUCUAUACCCCCUAUAUAGUGUGUGAAAAACUUUGAAACUUGGUCGUUGGAUGAAGCCAAUCUGACGGUACAAAGAUGGCAAAUCCGAGCACUACUGGCCAUUGGAUAUCAUCCACCAGAUUCUGCCACAUGUAUAAUCUAGAAGAGUCCAUGGUUGAACUUAAUUCAUGACUAACUUUGCCACAACUAAGCUCAGGCAAAGUUAUUAAUAAGUUCUUCAAAAUGAGAGCCACAAGUUGGCAAGCCUAAGGGAAUCUUGCCACAUUUUUUGUGUGUAUGUCAUGUAGGGCCAGUGUGUCUUGCCUAAGGUGUGGCUUGAACCAAACACUCACCUAAGUUAAUCAAACAUGCCUAACCUUACAUUCCACCAAAUUUUGCCACAAGUUGGCAAGCCUAAGGGAAUCUUGCCACAUUUUUUGUGUGUAUGUCAUGUGGGGCCAGUGUGGCUUGCCUAAGGUCUGGCUUGAACCAAACACUCACCUAAGUUAAUCAAACUUGCCUAACCUUACAUUCCACCAAAUUUUGCCACAUGUUAGAAUCCAGAAAACUCCACAUGUAGAAGCAUAAUGCACAAACCACCCGAAUCUCAUGCGUGCAAUGCACAUGUACCUUCCUACUAGUACUAGUAGUAGUGAGAAACAACUUCCAGUUUUGGCACGAGCUCGUACUGCGGGAGCACCACAAGGCCUGCUACAGGAAUUACAUUUACCUCUCGGGGCCCACGAGACCGAAAUUUAGUGGCUUAGUGCCCGGCCUAUGAGUCAAUGACAUGUGGGCCUUAAAUGUGGCUGGCCCACGUGUCAUUCUCAUGGUGGUGGCAUGGUUCGCGACUCACUCGUUCGAGAUGAACCGGCCGGUGGUGGCGUGGCCAUGGCAAGGGUACCACAGCUGGGCGUCGGGGCGUUACAAGGCGUAGAUGGCCACACCGACGGGUACUACCUGUAGUACAUAAGUACUCUAGCUGAGGAUUGAUGCCCGGGACAAAAUGUGUCACAGCCGCUGGAUGAAAAUUCAAUGGUGCGGGAGUAUGGAUCGGAGCACAGCAGCGGAGCAGGCAAACCGCGUCCAAUCGAGUGUGUCUGUGGUAGAAAGUUGAUGGUCGCCGCAGUUCAGCUAGCCCGCAUGUCAUGCACACAAAGGCAGAGGAUCGGUGGGGCCGAGGGGGAUGAGGGGCACGAACAAUCCUACCAUUCUGUUAGUAACAUGUGGGACCCAUAAGCAUGGGUCCCACCUGUCAGCAAAGGAAAGGCAGGGCAAGGCAGUGAUAGACACGUCAGAGGAUCCAUGUCCACGUUGGGGGACGUCGUGCCGUGGGUUGGAGCGGCGUCGUGGGAAUCGCAUGUGGGUGUGGUAGUGGUAGAAACAAGAAACUUGAUGGUCGCCGUGGUUCAACUUCCAUGGACAAGCUGUCAUGUCUGCUGACACAUGUAUAUCAAAACUAGAGUGUUUAUAUUUCAAGCACGUGAACAAGUAUUAUUAUACUAGUUUGGAUCCAUUGCAAUGCACGGGCCAGCACAUUGGUAGUAGUAGUGUCCAUCUCUAUCUCUAGAGGCCUUCCCUCGUUCAUCCUUUUCUCUCACAAGAUAAACUACUCAUACAGAUGCAUCUUGAUGUUCCAUGGAACGCACGAGGAUGUUUCCUUGGGGGUCCCUCCAGCGCGGCGUGGCCGUAGUUGCAAGUUGACGCCCCUUGAGAUGCUGACGUCGAGGGGCACUCGGAUUUCCUCCGAUGAGCAGGUAUGAUGAGUUUGAUCACGUAGUAAAUGCAUUCUAAAGACUGUUCCGUGUCCAUUUCCUAAUUCUCCCCCUGCACACUAUUUCACAGGCUAGGCUCGGUGCGAGUGGAGAUUGGUUUGCAUAUGUACGGGAGGGUACAAACAUCAAUUUGCACAACAUUUACAAUGGUGACACCGUUCCCAUAGAACCUUUGUCCAACAUUGGGAUCAGCCAUGCAACGGGCCACCGCAUGAAUUGGUGUGAUGGAACCACGGUGAGAUUGAAUAAAAGAUAGCACGAACCUUGCACAUGGCGGUCAAAGGCGGACCAUGCUGCCUGCGGCCGAUUUGUUGCCGUACGAGUAGGAGGACGCUGUGAUCCUUUCUAACCGCAUCUUCGCGGUGACAAACCAGGGGACUUAUUUUGUAUGGGACACAUCCUAUGAUAUACUCCCUCUCUCCUAGUUUAUUUGUUUUGAAUCUUUUCAUUUUAUAAGUUUCAAAUUCAAAUUUAGAGCUCCCCAUCACAUGUUGAGAUUACAAUGUCCUUUAAAUCGUUGCGUGCAUGUAUAGUAAAGAAACAAAUCUCAAGUUUGGCACGAGUUCGUGCUGCGGGAGCACCACAAGCCCUAGCGCAGGAGUUACAUUUCCCUCUCAGGGCCGUCGGGACUGAGCUUCAGUGCCUUACUACACCUACCUUUGAGUCAAUAACAUGUGGACCCGAUAGGUGACUGGUCCACAUGUAAUGCUCCCGAAGGCAGAGGGGCAGUGGCGCCAAGAGGGGUGAGCCGCAGGUCGGGGGACGUGUGGUUUCAUGGAUUCGAGUGGCAUCGUGGGAAUCGCGAGUGGCUGUGGUAGAAACUUGAUGCUCCCCGCAUUUUAGGUGGCCCACAUGUCAUGCACACAAAGGCAGAGGUGCGGUGCGGCCGAGAGGGGUGAGGCGCACGUCGGGGGGCGAGGAGCCAUGGGUUGGAUAGGCGUCAUGGGAAUCGCGAGAUGAAACGUGAUGGUCGUUGUAGUUGAACUUCCCUGGACAAGCUGUCAUGUCUACGACACAUGCACUGUAUACCGAUCACUGGAAGGAGUAGCAGAGAAAGCUAUAUAUGCGGAUAAAUAGUUCCUUAUAGUCAAGCGGACCCAUGCUACUACUCUGUUCCAAAGACAUGCACACCAUCGAAAUAGUCCAUCUAUAUCAAUAUACAACGAGAGGGAAUAAUUUUUUUUACAAGAGAGGAAAUAGUUCAUCCAUCCAAAAUGCCCUCCUGCUGGUGCAGCGUUUUCUUCUUCUUCUUCUUCUUCUUCUUCUUCUUCUUCUUCUCAUUCUCUAUGGGAGACGGCUUUGCAACAAGCUCUUUGGACCUUGCAGCUAUCUCGAAACUCACACGGGCAUCGAGGGAAGCAUAUUUUAUCCGCUCGUACGUCAAGGGAUAAUUCUCCCAUCCAGAUGACCUUAAUGCCACCGUCUCAUCACCCUUCUGAAGAUUUGUACCAAGUACAAAAUUUGCUACGUCGAAUAGGGAUGGUGUCUGUUUAGCACAAUCUUCUACAGGAAUUUUGAUUCUGGUUUGUAGGUCAGCGAUGCUUUUCAAAUCAAGGUUGUAUGACACCAACUUCUGUUUGUCCCCUUCGAUGGCUGCCCCACAGAAGUAUACGUCCUCCCGAGACAAGAAAUCGUGAAGCUCACCUAGGAUGGAGGGCGAGUGUAUGAUAUGGUACACCAAAACAUCAUCUUCGAGGCACAACUGAAGGACGGCGGCGCUCUAGAUCUUCCCAGGGGCAUGCUCCGUGUACUCUGCGUCGAGACCGAUGACCCUCGUCUCUACCUUUUUGAGGGAGUUGGAUACACUGUUGAUCCACUGCCGAACAACCGUUGGGUGGAUGGUGAUGGUGGCAACGAUGCGCAUCGAGCCUUCGACGAGGACAUGUUGGACGCUAAAAACCUGCAUCUCAAUCUCUUUCGCCAUUUGGAACCGCUGGAACGGAGGGCUAUGGUUUGGAGAAUUAGGAUUAGAUGGCUAGUCUAACUGAAGUAGUAGAUGAUUAUUUAAAGAGGUUAAAACAAUGUGAACGCAGUGGGGUUUGGAUGCAAAUGAAGACAAAGGGGAGGUGAAGAAGCCGAGGCGAAUCGGUUCCCGAUGGAGAAGUAAAUGGGAGAAGUGGCAUGCAUGCAGUUGAUUAGAAGGCUAGGUAGACUAAACGAAAAGGCUAUGUGGGUAGACUGAGGAGUCGUACCUGUUCGUGUACGUGCCCAUCCUUCCUGAUAGGUGGGACCUAUGCAAACAGAUAAAAAAUGUGUUGUAGAUGUUUUUUGAGCCCGUGAGUGGGAGACACAACAUUCUCUGGUUAAGGAAUACUCCCUCUGUUUAGGUGAGUAUAAGUCACCUUAUGAAAAUCAGGUUUUCCCAAAACCUUUAGGCGUGGAGCAUUAACUUCCUGCUCGAUCCCCUCCCAGCCUUGUUAGCCAGCGUUCUCUUCCUCUGCUGCCGUGUUCUACCUUUCCAUUUUUCCUCUUCUCAAGUGUGGAACGAUCUGCAUGCCGUCCUUGAUGCACCAGAACGACCACUGCAUGCAUCACGGCAGGGCGUUGAUUGGGCAUGCACGAGAAUUUGGUUCUGCUCGCAAUAUGAAUGAUACCUGAACGAUGAAGUGAACAGACAUGCUAGCACGGGAGACCUAUUUUCGCUAUACAAUACUGGAGUACUCAUGUUCCUACUACUACUAGUAGUAGUAGUAGUACAACUAUGGUACACUUGAUGGUCAAAAUACUAUUCAUCCGGUCCUCACAGUGAAGUGACAACACCCUGCGCCUGACACUAGUCGAGGCGAGGCGGCGUGUUCAGGUUACCAAAGUCAGCCUCACCCUGUGAACCUUGCAGUCUGUCACCGCCGCUGUACAGCACAUUGGCGCCUCGCCUCGUCUCCCUCUCUGCUCCCAUAGCACCACUCCAUCUCCAUCUCCUUCUGCGUCUACGUCUCCGUCUCCAUCUCACUGUGCCCCCGUGUACCAUCGCCUCACUUGCCUUCCCUCAGUAACACUAUUCCCUCGCUAGCCGCUCCAGCACCGACAUCCUUCUCCCCCGUAAAUCAAGCCCCCUUCCAAACUCCACCAUGGACGAACGUGAACCGCGCAGCAUCCAUAUGAGCCACGAUUGGAGCAAUCUCCCCAAUGACAUCCUCGACCUUUGUUGUUCGUGUAUGGAUAUGUUGACUGCCCUGCGGCUGGCUGCAUGCUCGAGGGACAUGCACAUGGCAAUCGUCGAAGUGAGGCCUAAGCUUUUCAAGACACCCUGCUUGCUGCUAUCUGGUCUUGCGAGAUUGGAUCACCAUGAUACAGAGGUGUGCAUGAUGCCCCUCGACUUCAAUCCGAUCUCCAUUAGCCGAAACUUCUUUGCAGGUAUGUAGUGUGUCACCGUACAUCAUUUCCCUCGACAUCGAUCCGAUCACCAUCGCCCGAAACUUCUUGGCAGGUAUGUACUGGGUCGGCAUGAACUCCCACUGGAUGGCUGCCUUCAGAGAAGAUGGUAAAAAGUUGGUGCUCGUGAACUUCCAGACCUCCCAUGAGAUUAUCCUUCCUCCGUUGGAUUAUAUAGAGUAUUACCAUCACGGUCCAAGUCAUCUAGAUUACUAGGUCAGUUGGACGGACCUUGUUUUGCAGAAGAUUGUAAUCUGCCAAGUACCCACAUGACAUGCGAAUUACGCAGACUUCAAGCUAAUUGCCUUGUUCAACCGCGGACUCGCCUAUCUUUACGCCAGUGCCUUUUUUAGCUGGAGACAACUCGACUCGUAGUGGAUCAUCGUCAAAGCUAAUACACACUUCUGUGAUGCUAUUGAAAACAAUGGCAUCAUCUACGCGAUCGACAAAGCAGAUGGCACCACGUAUUACUGGGACGACGCGUGUAAAUUGUUUCCUUCUCAUGUUAAUGAUGACGCCAUGACACUGUUUGAACUUUUUUUGAUGAUUGGCAUAUCCCUGUUUGAGCAGAAUUUGAGUAGAACUAUGGCAAUAUAUUAGAGAUGUCGUAAAUCAGCUAUAUUUGGAAUGAGUUAAUUCAUGCGAUUGUGACCAUGUCAUUACAACCAAUUUGUACCUUGAAUAAUCAAACGGUUAGGAAUAUAUGGAUAUUAUCCUUAUUUUACAGUAAUCUAUAUACUACUACUAAAUAUGAGUGUGUAUCAAUGGCCAUGUUAGUUUCCUCAUUUUCAUGAUGUAGAAACAUGCACCACACUGUUGGUUUCAUCUAACCAUACAUUAGGGAAGUAAAUGUGCAUAUGGAGAACUCUAUAUUUGGAAGUAGUGAAAUCCUGCAAUGCUUACCAUGUGUACAUACCUAUAUUCGCCCUUCAGCAAUCAAUGACUAGAAUAAUAUCCUCACAAAAUUUUUGCCCGUAGAACACGAGUAUAUAACAAUGCAUGGUCUGUUAAUUAUCUUGAAGAAUUUGUUUGUGAGGACAGAACAUGAUUACAUAACAUGCAUGUAGUUUCCUUUGAAGAAUCGAUUGCGAGAUAACAUGAGUAUAACCAUGCAUGGCACUUCUAUAUUUUCAAACCUAGUAUACAUUUCCCUGUAUUUUCCUCCCAGUUCCAACAGGGACAUAUCAAUGCUCUUUCUUGCAUUAUCCUACUCAUACUUUGAACAAUGCUGAUCUUACAUUAACAAUGCAUUUCCUUUUUGAUAUGAUGCAGUGUCCCUACAGUUAUUGCCCUUUGUAAUUACACCACCUUUGCCAAAAACAGGGAAGCACAACUGGUUCCUCGCUCGAUCAGACGACGACAAAAGACUGAUGAUCAUUCGGACACAUGAGCCGGAAAAGUUACAUUGCAAAAACCCCACUGUAUACAAGCACAGUGUAAUACGUGAGUAUCCGGACAGCGGGUGUUACGUCUAUGAGCAGGAUACCAGCUUGUUGGGGCCUUUAGGAUUUUUUAGUUGGAGGCGGGAAAACAGCCUUGGUUCACACUCUCUGUUUCUCUGACUCAAUUAUCCGAUUAACCAGGAGAUCACCAUUGGCAAGGACCUUGAUGGUAGAGAGGCUCUGUUUGCUAUGGAAAAUUGUGUCUACAUGGCGAGCCCUAGGAGUUCGGGAGCAUACUCCCCUGAUUGUCAACGAUACAGCCUGCAGCCAAAAGAAGGUGAGAAUGACAAAGGCAUCCAGAUUAACUUUGAUCCUUGGAUGUCUCAAUUACGACAGGCAGUGAUGUGGUUCAAGCCUUCAGGUUGAUAGGUAAUUGGGUUGUUGCAUCGAAAGGGUGGAGUACUGGUGUCUCCGGAUCACUGGUCACUGAAGCGGGGCUGCAAAUUAUGAUGGUGUUGGAUCAUCUCUUUGAAUGACUUUGUUGUCUUUGCUGCUGGUUCUGGAUGGGUAGUUCUUUCUUUUGUUAUGCAUAUUCCUUGUCAUUUGGUCAUCCUCGUCUAUGUCACUCUUUCUACGUAAUAGUUGCUUCUGUUUAGAUUGUCAUUCUCGUCUGGAUCACGAGAGUCUGAGCGCUGCAGAUGGGUACAUUUUGGUGAGGUAGCAAGACUUCUUAUGAAUGAUCAUGUAUUUUUGUUUAUGUCAGUAGUAGUCACUAGUCAGUGUUUGAAUGUUGUAUAUAUCAUUGUUUCGAACUGUUUAUUGUCUCGAACUACUGGUGGGCUAAAUGAGGGCAUCACCAUUCUCCAGUGUUCAGAGUAUAUCUCCUUUUUUCAAGCUAUAUAAUUUGAGCUCACUGUCUUUUCGAUGAUGUACGCUUGUUUGGGCCAGUGAGGUGUCGUUGAAUAUGGGACGAGUAGUAACGCAAUGCCAAACAGGUCAAGUAUGACUCUCGGGCCGGGCUCUCAAAAGAUCCUAAAAAAAAGGCCGGGCUCUCCAAAAAAGAAAGAAUAAGGACUCUUAGGCCGACAUGUGGGCGCCACCGGUGUUUUCGUGCGCUUGCGCGCCGAGAGCAUAUUAGCGCGUGCUCGAAAUUCAUGCUACCUUUUCAUCCCCAGUCUCCCGCCCCUCCCCCACCUCUGGAAUCUCAAUUCCUAUUCCAGUUCCCCCAAAUCCCCGUCCUGUACUCCCAGUACUCAAGCGCACUAUCAUGUCGCCGGUCAACGCGGAUCUCCGAGCCGGAGAUCCUGAGGUCCGUCCUACCUUCCGUCGCUGCGUGCUGUCGCUCAACAGUGGCAUGGCGGCGCUUGACGACCAGUUUGCCGGCAAAGUGCUGAUGGUAACCAUCAAUGGCGACUAGCCUCCCGUCUCGCCGGACGACCUUGUCAAAGCUCUUGGCAUUGCGCACGGCAUCCAAAUAAGUGACUUGCUCGUCGAAGUCUGUCUGCCACCGGCUGAUUUCUUCGUCAGGUUCCGAACAACUUUCGACUGCAGUCUUCUGUUCGAAUCUUCCCGGCGUUUGUUCUGCGAUGGCGCGCUGGUGAGCUUUGAUCGGUGGCACCCAGGAUGGGGCUCGGUGCCCUCUAAGCUUGAGUUUUUAACAAAGCUUACCUUCCACGGCAUGCCUCGACGUGCUUGGAACAGCGAGUCCAUGAACGAGCUUAUCAACGACCUUGGAGGUGAGCUCGUAAGUAUGUUUGUUCCUCCAGACAGCUGGGCUCUGACAGUUAUGGCAUGGAUGAAGAAGCCGUCCACCAUACCGAAGGUGAUUGGUAUUGAGAUACUGGUGCAGGAACCGGGGUUGUACUAUUCGUUGCCACCAAGGCCGUCGCGGACCACGUUAGGGAUGUACCUGUAUCGAGUGUUCGUGCAUGUCGAAGAAGUAGUCAAUCCAUCAAUCGAAGUCCUGCCGCCCCCGCUGGUGCCAGGGUCCGUCGACGACAUCCAUUACAGGAGUCAACGUCAGACUUUCCCCGUGUUGCUCAGAAUUAUGGAUGGCACAGGGCCUACUCCAUCGCGCAGUGGAGGCCACUGCUUCUUUGGGAGAAGAGGCAGGGCUGGCUGCCUGGAUGUGCUCUAAUUUGAGGUAACAACUGAAUCUUGUCAGAUAGUACUAGUUAAAUCCGAGCUAUUGGUCUGAAACACUGAUAUGCCGGUACAUUUGAUUGUGACCUGUUCUAAUUUUGUACCUGAACUGUUUUUAGAAAGGGUUGUACGUCAACUUAAUGUGCUAGCAGAACUUAUUGUGUUGUCUGUCUGUUUUCUUUGCACAACAUUCAAGAUAUUUCCCCGUCAUUUAUAAAGACGAUGAACCGUUAUGUAUGACUUUGUUGGUUUCAACAUAGCCCUUCCCGUAGCAAUCCACUGCUUCCAUCCUGAUUGUGCCGCCUGCGUGAAAUUUUUGUAUGCAAGUUCAGUGUGCUACGAUGUUCUAUAUGAUUGUGUCAACUAUAUAAGUUUUUACUGAGCAUCAGCAAUGCAUAUGGCUGAAAGAUGUAUUUACGAGCAUCGACCGAUGGGUCUCUCUCUCUAUCUCUCUCUCUCUCUCUCACACACACACACGCACACACAUGCGCACACGCACAAGUGGGACCUGUUGAAUUAUUUAUUUGCUCGUGAUAGCUUUUAAUUAGGUUCCACUGUAAUCUAACUUCUUUCUUAAGUUAUUAAUUGAGCUCAGUGACUUCAAAAAGUUAUAUAGAAGCCUUGUUUGAGCCUUUCCGGCAUCCCUGAAUGUGGGCUGAGUAACCAUGUUAGGUUGUACUGUACUACACAGGCCUUUUUUUUCAACAUCAGCAAUGCAACUGGGCCGACAGUUGUACACAAUAUCCGGGUCAACUUGUUAUCCGCCCCGCUGGGCUGCAAAGUUUCCUAACAGGUAUGCAUUAGGCUUAACGAGAAACUGGACUUUAAGAAAUAAUAAAUGGGAUGUAAUUAUAAUAACUGGGCAAUUACUAUGCACCAAACACGUAAUUAGUCUGAAAAAUAUAUUAUUUUUGGAAUUUGGAAAUUUUAAUUUCAUUACUUGUUGCGCGCGCAAUAUUUCGUUGGAUUUUAACGUGAUACAACUUUAUUUUGAAAUUAUAUUUAACCUGACUAGAAAUUUCGGAUAAAAAUAUUUCGGAUCCCAUCAAAAUGCGGGAAUUGUUUUUUGAAUUCUGUUUUGAGCGGUUGUUUGAAAUUAUUAAUCGUUGUCCUACCUAGAAGUUGGGCUGUACUUUUAACAAUCCCGUAAAUGGGCUGUAGUAAAUUCCAUUAGAAUUGAAAAAUGGGCCGUACAUUCUUACAAAUAGCAAAUGGGCUAUAUGUUCUCUCCCAAAUCCGAGUUGUGGGCCUACUAAGUUGACGCGUACUAAGGACUUUGUCAACUUAGUCAAUAUAAAUGAUUCUAGCUGCAGUGAUCGUACGAUGUCCAUCCAAUGGCCAUAGUGCUUCUUUAACCUCUGGUCUUCUUGCUCCAGCCGCCCAAAGCAGCGCCGGUUGUGUCGCGUGCUCCUGCCUCCCGUGGCCGGCUGUGAUGUUGCGGAGGCCUCACCGCCCCGUACUACUCCCACCGCUGGCCAGGCCAUCCCUCUACUCAGCCACACCCCCUGUUAUUCUGCGGCGACGGCAGCCUCACACCGCAGCCGAACCAGUGAACCCUCGUACUCCUCUCCGCGCGGGCUACCACUACUGUGUCUUCCCCGGCUCCGCAUCGUCCGCUUCCUAGGCCUCGCCAUCGUCCAGACCACCGCCCUGGUGCUCUCGGCGCGGCGUGGUCAACGUGGUCAACGACCGACUUCCAUCGGAAGAGUACUGUACGUGGAGAGGCUGACAGCUGGGUCCAGGCGGCCGCAAGGAAGUGCCUCCUUAUUACGUGCAAAAUAAUUAUUCCUCCACCUGACAGCAGGGACCCACCAGACGGGCCACCUUAUUUCGUGAAAAAAUGUUUCCCCCCUGACUCCUGGGACCCAUCGGACGGGCCAGUGUAUUUCGCGAAAAAACAUUCCCCACGCUGUCAGCUCGGACCCACCGGAAGUGCCUCCUUAUUACGCACCAAAAAAUGAAUACUCCCCCUGCUAGCUGGGACCCACCAUGGUGGGAGGCUGACUUGUGUGCCUACUAAGUUGACUGGGACAGGGGCCUUUGUCAACUUUAGUCAAUAUGAGCAAUUUUAGCUCCAGUGACCGUACGAUGGCCAUCCAACGGCCGUAGUGCUUCUUCCACCUCUGGUGUUCUUGCUCUAGCCGCCCAAUGCAGCGCCGGUUGUGCCGCAUGCUCCUGCCUCCCGUGGCCGGCUGUGCUGCCACGGAGGCCUCACCGCUCCCUACUAUUCCCACCGCUGGCCAGGCCCUACGGCGACGGCAGCCUCACACCGCAGCCGAACCAGUGAACUCUCAUAGUCCUCUCCGCGCGGGCUUCCACUGCCGCGUCUUCCCCGGCUCCCCGUCGUCCCCAUCCGAGGCCUCGCCAUCGUGCACCGCCGUGGUGCUCUCGGCGCGGCGUGGUAAAUGUGGUCAACGACCGACUUCCAUUGGAAGAGUACUGUACGUGGAGAGGCUGAUAGCUAGGUCCACGACAGUCGCAAGUAAGUGCCUCCUUAUUAUGCGGAAAAUAAUUAUUCCUCCACCUAACAGCAGGGACCCACCGGACGAGUCACCAGUAUUUCGCGAAAAAAACAUUUCCCCCUAACUGCUGGGACCCACAGGACGGGCCACCGUAUUUCGCGAAAAAACGUUCCCCCCCCCCGCUGUCAGCUCGGACCCACCGGAAGUGCAUCCUUAUUACGCACAAAAAAAUGAAUACCCCCCUGCUAGCUGGGACCAACCUUGGUGCGAGGCUGACUUGUCGGCCUACUAAGUUGACUGGGACGGAGGCCUUUGUCAACUUUAGUCAAUAUAUGAACGAUUCUAGCUCCAUUGACCGUACGAUGUCCAUCCAACGGCCGUAGUGCUUCUUCAACCUCUGGUCUUCUUGCUCCAGCCGCCCAAAGCAGCGUCGGUCAUGCCGCCUGCUCCUGCCGCCCGUGGCCGGCUGUGAUGCCGCGGAGGCCUCACCGCCCCCUACUACUCCCACCGCUGGCCAGGCCAUCCCUCUACGCACCCACACCCCUUGUUAUUCUGCGGUGACGGCAGCCUCACUCCGCAGCCGAAUGAGUGAACCCUCAUACUCCUCUACGCGUGGGCAUCCACUACCGCGUCUUCCCCGGCUCCGCGUCGUCCCCUUCCUAGGCCUCGCCGUCGUCCACCGCCCUGGUGCUCUCGGUGCGGCGUGGUCAACGUGGUCAAGGAAUGGCUUCCAUCGAAAAUGGACUGUACGUGGAGAGGCUGACAGCUGGGUCCACGACCGCAGCAAGGAAGUGCCUCCUUAUUACGCGCAAAAUAAUUAUUCCUCCACCUGACAGCGGGGACCCACCGGAUGGGCCACCGUAUUUAGCAAAAAAACGUUUCCCCCUGUCUGAUGGGACCCACCAAUUACAUCUUCGCACGCAAGGAAGUGCGUCUGAAAAAAAACGAUUCGCCCCCCUGACUGCUGGGACCCACCAGCUACAUCUUCACACACAAGGAAGUGCCUGACAGUCGGGACCCACGUGGUCGAAGUGUACGUAGCAUUGUCAUUAUGGCCGCGAACGUGUAAGUACAUAUAUACUGGUGGAUGUAGAGGCGCGCACGUGUCGUAGUAGAGGCGCGCACGUUGCAUGUACAUGUACGUAAAAGUGGCGAGGGUGCAAGAAAUAAAAUACGGCCACAUACGUACAUACGGGCAGGGUCUCUAACGCCUAUCGCGCAUACGUACAUGGCUGGGUCGGAACAGAGAAACAGCAUCGUCGUCGUGUUCAUGUUCAUCGGGAGGGCUUGGACGGAAUAGGCCAUGGAAAUGAGGCCUGGCGUACCGCACGACGGAGGAAACGGCCUCGUGUUUGACCGGCCACGUUCGAAACGGGGUCCUGUUGAUUGGGAGGGGACUGGCGUACCGCAAAAUGGAGGAAACGGAACUCCUAUGGUCGAAACGGGGGUCCUGUUGAUCGGGAGGGGUGUGGCGUACCGCAAAACGGACGAAACAGACCUCCUAUGGUCGAAACGGGGGUCCUGUUCAUCGGGAGGGGUGUGGCGUACCGCAAAACAGACGAAACGGGCUUGUGUUGGAGCGCUACGGUCUUAACGAGGGGGGGGGAGGGGUGUGGCGUACCGCAAAAUGGGACUCCACGGGAUACUGUUCAUCUCCACCAUCGACCUCCUCCAGCCUCCACGGGCUCCUGUUCAUCCAGCCUCCACCACGCGCUACUCCACCUGCUACUGUUCAACCACCCCUCCACGGGCACCCCUCCACCGUAUACUAUUCAUCCAGCCCUCCACACCAUGGGGUCCCGUUCAACCACCCCUCCACGGCCACCCCUCCACCAUCUACUUUUCAUCCAGCCCUCCACACCACAGAUUCCUGUUCAUCCAGAGGCAAUGCCACCACUCACUGUUCAUCCAAACCCCCCCGCAACGCUCACUGUUCAUCCAAUUGAUCGGCUUCAGUUAGCAGCAGUAGCGAAGGAAUCGCUCCAUCGGGUUCAGUUAACAGCCAUCGAUCGAUCGCUCGGGUUCAGUAACGCGUAGCCUGCAGUGCAAUCGCUCGGGUUCAGUUAGAGCCCAACGCCUCGCUCGGCUUCAGUUAGAGCCAACGCCUCGCACACACGCGCAUACGUAUGAGAGAAACGCGCAUCGCUCCGCCCCCGACCUCCCACCGUAACCGGCAACUCCCCAAAAUUUUCCUCCCCCUCGCUUCUACCACAGUUUUUUCCGUCACGGACGGCCCAAAGAAUGUCAUGCAGCUGCGUCUCCGGCCUGCCCAAGAAGAAAAGCCCAUUUUCUGUCAUGAUUUUUUUGUCAUAGAAGUAGGAGCCUACGACAUCUAUGAUGAUAUGGGGUUUUGUCACAAUUAUCGUCAUAGAAGUGUCAUAUGUAUGACAGAAAUUUCUUUCGUUCGGCCCAAAUGUCAAGGAUGUGUCUUUUUUUUGUAGUGUCGUCGACAACGUGGCAGCAUGGUGUGCACUGAUCGACCCAUGCGACGACACUACCAACCUCAUCAACAAC